GCUUGUCAACAUGGACAGUAUUGGAAACACACCAAAGGUGAUUCAAGAACAUCAGGCAGUCUUUACGAAACCCACUCAAAACUUGACCCUAAACAAUGAGUCUGUCAGGUCAGGCUCCGUCCCUUGGGAGCAUUGGCAGAUGGCCCAUAAGAAUGAGGGGCCACAGAAUGAAGGAAAGGAAACCAAUGUGGGACAAGAACAAGGAACCCCCAUCACAUUCUUCUCAUCCUGAAAGUUGACCCAGCUACAGGGAAAUUUUGUAGCAAAAACUGAUAAUUAUUGCAAGAGCAGGGCUCAACUCUCCCAACCUGCCCAGCACUCCAUCCUCAACCACACAAGCUACAUGUGGAACAAAAUGAAGGGGACUGUGCCCAUGGAGGUACCCUUACAGGAGGUCACAGAAAAGAAUGAAAAAUAUACCACCAUCAAGAAGGGCACUCGGUUUAGGGGGCAAACACCUGCCUUGCCCUUCCAUCAGCAACCUUGAGAAGGGGCUGAAAUUCAGGAACACCACACUAAGGACAGACAAGCAGCUUUUUGUAAAGGCUGCUAAUGAUCAUACCUGCCUUGAUUCAAAAAACGAAAGGAAGCCACAGUCAAAUUGUACAGAACUUCCAGUCAAACCCAGAAGGAAACCAUAUCUGCAUUUCCUUGAGGCAAGCGAUCUCGCCACACCUGGAGU
rnacentral:lncRNA from 1 species